CAGUCGCCCGGGAAUACGUAGGGUGCAAGCGUUGUCCGGAAUUAUUGGGCGUAAAGAGCUCGUAGGCGGUUUGUCGCGUCUGCUGUGAAAUCCCGAGGCUCAACCUCGGGCUUGCAGUGGGUACGGGCAGACUAGAGUGCGGUAGGGGAGAUUGGAAUUCCUGGUGUAGCGGUGGAAUGCGCAGAUAUCAGGAGGAACACCGAUGGCGAAGGCAGAUCUCUGGGCCGUAACUGACGCUGAGGAGCGAAAGCGUGGGGAGCGAACAGGAUUAGAUACCCCCGUAGUCCCUGUCUCUUAUACA
rnacentral:rRNA from 1 species